AUGAAGACCUCUCUUUCUUCACUCUUGUUCCUUCUCUUUCUCUUCUUCCUCUCCUCAGCAACCUCAAGAUUGAUCCCUAUCCCUACUCCCUCAAGAAACCACCACCAUUUAUGGUGUAGACAAGAGACUAGUUCCCUCUGGACCAAACCCACUUCACAACUGAAACCACUUCACUAUAUUUAUAUACACACACUAAGUAUAAUAGGGCAAUAUAUAGAUUUUCCAUUUCCAUGCUUGUAUUUGGUUUUCUUGGUCUUGGAAUUAGGGCUACAAAAUUUUGUAGAAAGAAAGACAGAAUCUGAAAACAAGCAUGGAAAUGGUGAAAGAGAGAAGAGGAUGGUUGAAACUUGA